rnacentral:sRNA from 1 species
UGCGUUUUAACUACUUAUUAUGAAAUGUAAAUAAAACCUUGUAUAAACCGUAAGCAGCUAAACCGAGUUUUAACUACUUAUUAUGAAAUGUAAAUUCUUCAGCAAAAUGUUGAAUGUCAAACUUGCGCUGUGUUUUAACUACUUAUUAUUAAAUGUAAAUGUUCUAAGUUUAGAAAUAUCCCACGUGUACGUUUGGUUUUAACUACUUAUUAUGAAAUGUAAAUGUGAAAAUAAAAUCUAGACAUUCUAAAGCGCUUUUGUUUUAACUACUUAUUAUGAAAUGUAAAUUAAUG